AUACGUAGGUGACAAGCGUUAUCCGGAUUUACUGGGCGUAAAGGGCGUGUAGGCGGUCUUGCAAGUCAGAAGUGAAAUUCCGGGGCUUAACUCCGGGCGUGCAGGCGAUACGGGCAUAACUUGAGUACUGUAGGGGAGACUGGAAUUCCUGGUGUAGCGGUGAAAUGCGCAGAUAUCAGGAGGAACACCGGUGGCGAAGGCGGGUCUCUGGGCAGUAACUGACGCUGAGGAGCGAAAGCAUGGGUAGCGAACAGGAUUAGAUACCCUGGUAGUCCAUGCCGUAAACGGUGGGCGCUAGGUGUAGGGGUCUUCCACGACUUCUGUGCCGUAGCUAACGCAUUAAGCGCCCCGCCUGGGGAGUACGGCCGCAAGGCUAAAACUCAAAUGAAUUGACGGGG
rnacentral:rRNA from 1 species